rnacentral:rRNA from 1 species
GAUGAACGCUGGCGGCGUGCUUAACGCAUGCAAGUCGAACGAUGAAGCCCAGCUUGCUGGGUGGAUUAGUGGCGAACGGGUGAGUAACACGUGAGUAACCUGCCCUUGACUCUGGGAUAAGCCUGGGAAACUGGGUCUAAUACUGGAUAUGACUUCUCAUCGCAUGGUGGGGGGUGGAAAGAUUUAUUGGUCUUGGAUGGACUCGCGGCCUAUCAGCUUGUUGGUGAGGUAAUGGCUCACCAAGGCGACGACGGGUAGCCGGCCUGAGAGGGUGACCGGCCACACUGGGACUGAGACACGGCCCAGACUCCUACGGGAGGCAGCAGUGGGGAAUGUUGCACAAUGGGCGCAAGCCUGAUGCAGCGACGCCGCGUGAGGGAUGACGGCCUUCGGGUUGUAAACCUCUUUCAGUAGGGAAGAAGCGAGAGUGACGGUACCUGCAGAAGAAGCGCCGGCUAACUACGUG